rnacentral:ncRNA from 1 species
UCGUUGUGAUAUUAAUCCUGCUCAGUGCGCGGGAUCAGACGUUUUUUUUUUCAUGCUCUCGGCUGAAAAGCCGAUAGCACGAAGCCAGCAUCCUGAAGAUUAUGAUUGAACGCCUCAAAGUCAGAAUCUUUUCUAGUCAUAUCCAACAA